rnacentral:rRNA from 1 species
ACGGGUGAGUAAUGCCUAGGAAAUUGCCCUGAUGUGGGGGAUAACCAUUGGAAACGAUGGCUAAUACCGCAUAAUGCCUACGGGCCAAAGAGGGGGACCUUCGGGCCUCUCGCGUCAGGAUAUGCCUAGGUGGGAUUAGCUAGUUGGUGAGGUAAUGGCUCACCAAGGCGACGAUCCCUAGCUGGUCUGAGAGGAUGAUCAGCCACACUGGAACUGAGACACGGUCCAGACUCCUACGGGAGGCAGCAGUGGGGAAUAUUGCACAAUGGGCGCAAGCCUGAUGCAGCCAUGCCGCGUGUGUGAAGAAGGCCUUCGGGUUGUAAAGCACUUUCAGUCGUGAGGAAGGUAGUGUAGUUAAUAGCUGCAUUAUUUGACGUUAGCGACAGAAGAAGCACCGGCUAACUCCGUGCCAGCAGCCGCGGUAAUACGGAGGGUGCGAGCGUUAAUCGGAAUUACUGGGCGUAAAGCGCAUGCAGGUGGUUUGUUAAGUCAGAUGUGAAAGCCCGGGGCUCAACCUCGGAAUAGCAUUUGAAACUGGCAGACUAGAGUACUGUAGAGGGGGGUAGAAUUUCAGGUGUAGCGGUGAAAUGCGUAGAGAUCUGAAGGAAUACCGGUGGCGAAGGCGGCCCCCUGGACAGAUACUGACACUCAGAUGCGAAAGCGUGGGGAGCAAACAGGAUUAGAUACCCUGGUAGUCCACGCCGUAAACGAUGUCUACUUGGAGGUUGUGGCCUUGAGCCGUGGCUUUCGGAGCUAACGCGUUAAGUAGACCGCCUGGGGAGUACGGUCGCAAGAUUAAAACUCAAAUGAAUUGACGGGGGCCCGCACAAGCGGUGGAGCAUGUGGUUUAAUUCGAUGCAACGCGAAGAACCUUACCUACUCUUGACAUCCAGAGAACUUUCCAGAGAUGGAUUGGUGCCUUCGGGAACUCUGAGACAGGUGCUGCAUGGCUGUCGUCAGCUCGUGUUGUGAAAUGUUGGGUUAAGUCCCGCAACGAGCGCAACCCUUAUCCUUGUUUGCCAGCGAUAAUGUCGGGAACUCCAGGGAGACUGCCGGUGAUAAACCGGAGGAAGGUGGGGACGACGUCAAGUCAUCAUGGCCCUUACGAGUAGGGCUACACACGUGCUACAAUGGCGCAUACAGAGGGCAGCAAGCUAGCGAUAGUGAGCGAAUCCCAAAAAGUGCGUCGUAGUCCGGAUUGGAGUCUGCAACUCGACUCCAUGAAGUCGGAAUCGCUAGUAAUCGUGGAUCAGAAUGCCACGGUGAAUACGUUCCCGGGCCUUGUACACACCGCCCGUCACACCAUGGGAGUGGGCUGCAAAAGAAGUAGGUAGUUUAACCUUCGGGAGGACGCU